GGAUGUGAGGGUGAUCUGGCUGCGACAUCUGUCACCCCAUUGAUCACCAGGGUUGAUUUGGCUGAUCUGGCUGGCUAGGCGGGUGUCCCCUUCCUCCCUCACCACUCCAUGUGCGUCUCUCCGGAAGCUGCGCGCUGGGUCGAAGAGGACGACCUUCCCCGAUAGAGGAGAGGACUGUUCUUCGGUCAAGGGUAUAAGAGUAGCUGCGCGCCCCUGCUAGAACCUCCAAACAAGCUCUCAAGAAUCAAAGUGUAAUGCUUCCCAUUGGAAAGCUGUUGAAGUUUUGUACCAUGAGUACAUCAAC
rnacentral:snRNA from 1 species